GGUGGUUUUGUUGCAGCCGCUGCUGCCGAAAGGGAGUUCAAGUCGAGUUGAGCUGCAGCUUUUGAAACAGUCAACAAUACUGGUGUUAUUCUGAAACGUAAAAUCAAUGAAGACAACUUGAAAUGGUUCUCUAACUAAGAGGGUCUCUACUACAUAUCAAGACAACGUUGUGAUGGAAAUAGGAAAUCUGAAUGAAAUACUAAUAAUGUUUCCAUGGUCAGUUUGAUGUUUGCGCUGUAUUGUUGUGGCUGUUUGGUGUGGAGUGGUUUUCCAGGAGACAUGUGUUUAAAAGGUGCUUGAGUAGACAUACAUACAAUGGGAAAUUUAACAUUUUAAUUUAACGGCAAAGAUAAAAUUGUUGUAGUUGAUCAGUAGUCAUGUUGGCUUUAAGUCUUUCCCAGGGAUAAAGCGGCUGAUGUUGGUAACAUCGCAAUCUUAUGCAACUGAGCCUUACAUAAUUUCUACAUUGUUCGUGAUCAAUGUCAACUUCAACAUUCUUCUUCAUAAAUAUCUUAAAAGGAUUAAUGGCUUGGUAAGAUUGAGCUUUUUCAUGGCAGUCAAAUGUCCGCAUGGAAUUGUUGCAGCCAGCUGGUGAAGGUUGUAGUGAGCUCUUGCAUGAUGACCAUGUGCUGGUGUGGGGAAGUGCUGCAUGCUGUCUGGUGUUUCCAUCGUCAGUUAGUUGUAUGAGCUAAUUAUGUUGUUGCUCUUUGGUGUGCAGUUCAUGUUCAGGUGUUUUUGUUUCAGCCAGCUGGUGAAAGGGGGGUUAAAGAGUUGUGUAGAGCUGUAGCCUAUUGAAGCAGUCAACAAUGCUGGUGUUAUUCUGAAGUGCAAUAUCAAUGAAGACAUUCUGAAAUGGAUUUGGCGACAAUGUGAUCAACAAUAUGCUGAAUAGAGUCUAUGCUGUUUUCGUUAUCAAGGAGUGGAGAAGUAAGAAUUGAAGCAAGGCUGCAAGAAAAUGAAAUGGUCUCGGCGUAAAUGUGCAGUCGCUUUGCAGUCUCAAUCCUGUUUAAACUGUUGCUAUCCUGAAUUAUGCUGGAGUUUUGGAAGUAGCUGAUUCUGAAGUUGGGUUGCUGGUGUUAUCCUGAAGAAGCUGAUGUUAUCCUGAAGAAGCUGAUGUUAAUGUUAUUAAGUAAAUAAGCCAGUUCAGUUCUGGUUGUUCAAAAUUAUAUCCAUGUUGUAUGUGAUUUUAGCAACCUUGAGAUUUGUUAUUAACUAAAACGUGUUGCAACCUGUUAUUAAUUUAAACAGCACUCCUUCCUGAAUUUUCCUCACCCAUAUAUUUUUAAAUAAAUCUUAAAUAACGUGAUGUCAAAACUUUACCUUGUGCAUUGUUAUAUCUGAUAUUUUUUUCAUAAGUUGUGAAAUUUUUAAACAAAUAAAAAACAAUCAAUUAUAUGAAA